CACGAAUUCGUAUGAGCUAACUUACUUAUUAAGUAUGUAACAUAAUAUAUAUUGAAAUUAAGUUAGGGGUGAUAGGCUUUUCAAAAACGAUGAUAUCUUGAAGUAAGCGAAAAAAAUUUAGUUUCCAGAUGAUUACAAAGUUAUAAGAUUUUGUAAAGGAUUUAAUUUUUAUAAAUAUAAAUUAUCGGUAUAAAAACCCAUAUAAUAAAAUAUUAAUAUUAAAUUAGUGAAAUUAUCUAUUUAGUUUACGAUAACAUAACUAUUGUCUAAAUCAUUAUGUUAUUAUUAGUAUUUGCUAGGUAUUAAUAGUGAACUCGGCAAUAAAGCUUUCAACUGUUUAUCAAAAACAUAGCUACAUGUCUCACAUGUAGUGUGUUCUGCUCAAUGAUAAAUUAAAUAGCCGCAGUACCCUGACUGUGCAAAGGUAGCGUAAUCAUUUGUCUUUUAAUUGAAGUCGUGUAUGAAUGAAUAAAUGGGGGCUUACUUUACCAUUAAUAUAAUUUGAACUUGUUUAAGAGGUGAAAAAACCUCUACUUAUAAAAUAGACGAGAAGACCCUUGAAAUUUGUAAAAUAGUUUUGUUGGGGCAACAUAGUAGAAAAACCUACUUAAUGUACAUGAAAUCUUUUUGGAUGAAUAAAUUACUCUAGGGAUAACAGCAUAAUUUUAUUAAGUUUGUGACCUCGAUGUUGGAUUAGGGAACUAAAACUUAAAA
rnacentral:rRNA from 1 species